rnacentral:rRNA from 1 species
AAGCUAGUAAGACCCCUUGAAGAACACGAGGUUGAUAGGUCAGAGGUGUAAGUAUGGCAACAUAUUUAGCUGACUGAUACUAAUAGGUCGAGGGCUUGACCAA